AUAUAUUUGGUGUAUGAUGCACAUGAAUUUUUGAUGUUUAAGGGGUUAGUUUAAUUCUAAUAAUAUAUA
rnacentral:tRNA from 1 species